rnacentral:rRNA from 1 species
GACGAACGCUGGCGGCGUGCUUAACACAUGCAAGUCGAACGGGUCUGCCCUGUUUUUUGCGGGGUGGGUCAGUGGCGAACGGGUGAGUAACACGUGAGUAACCUGCCCCUCACUUCUGGAUAACCGCUUGAAAGGGUGGCUAAUACGGGGUGUUCUGGCUGUGCCGCAUGGUGUGGCUGGGAAAGAUUCACUUUUGUGGUGUUUUGGUGGGGGAUGGGCUCGCGGCCUAUCAGCUUGUUGGUGGGGUGAUGGCCUGCCAAGGCUUUGACGGGUAGCCGGCCUGAGAGGGUGGGCGGUCACACUGGGACUGAGAUACGGCCCAGACUCCUGCGGGAGGCAGCAGUGGGGGGUAUUGCACAAUGGGCGGAAGCCUGAUGCAGCGACGUCGCGUGAGGGAUGGAGGCCUUCGGGUUGUGAACCUCUUUCGCCGGUGAAGGAGGUCCUGCUCUUUGGGGUGGGGUUGACGGUAGCCGGGUUAUGAAGCGCCGGCUAACUACGUG